UACGGAAGGCAGCAGGUGGGGAAUAUUGCACAAUGGGCGAAAGCCUGAUGCAGCUAUGCCGCGUGUAUGAAGAAGGCCUUAGGGUUGUAAAGUACUUUCAUCGGGGAGGAAAAAACAAAACUAAUAAUUUUAUUUCUUGACGUUACCCGAAAAAGAAGCACCGGCUAACUCCGUGCCAGCAGCCGCGGUAAUACGGAGGGUGCUAGCGUUAAUCAGAAUUACUGGGCGUAAAGAGCACGUAGGUGGUUUUUUUAAGUCAGAUGUGAAAUCCCUGGGCUUAACCUAGGAACUGCAUUUUGAAACUGAAAUACUAGAGUAUCGUAGAGGGAGGUAGAAUUCUAGGUGUAGCGGUGAAAUGCGUAGAUAUCUGGAGGAAUACCUGUGGCGAAAGCGGCCUCCUAAACGAAUACUGACACUGAGGUGCGAAAGCGUGGGGAGCAAACAGGGAUUAGAUACC
rnacentral:rRNA from 1 species